GCCCUCAGAGCACAAGCCAAGGAGUGCGUUGUUACCGCAGCCGAUGUCGAUGAAGCCAGAGCUUGCUUGAAAGAUGUCCUUCAAGCUGCCCGUGAAGGAGCCAAGGACUUGGCCAAGGCUUUCAAAGAAACCUGGUCCCAAUUGGGCAACUUGGUUCGUGAAGUCGGCAAAUGCGCAAGAGGAGCCGUGAAGGAAUUCAGAGAUAACUUGGUACAAGUCCGUAAAGACUGUGCUGACUGCUUAAAACUUACUGACAACUAAAUUAGUUUAGGAAUUUUAUAACAAACUGUAAUUUGCUUAAAUUUGCUUUAUGAUCAGCUAGUUGUAUAUUAUUUGUAAUUUGAUGGUUUUAGUUUUUUAUGUAACAUUUUGACAAAUAAAAAUUGUUUAUGAAAAUA